UACGUAGGGGGCAAGCGUUGUCCGGAAUCAUUGGGCGUAAAGCGCGCGUAGGCGGUCCGAUAAGUCUGCUGUGAAAGUCGGGGGCUCAACCCUCGGAUGCCGGUGGAUACUGUCGGGCUUGAGUGCGGAAGAGGCGAGUGGAAUUCCUGGUGUAGCGGUGAAAUGCGCAGAUAUCAGGAGGAACACCAAUGGCGAAGGCAGAUCUCUGGGCCGUAACUGACGCUGAGGAGCGAAAGCAUGGGGAGCGAACAGG
rnacentral:rRNA from 1 species